CUAAAUAGGAUUCCCUUAGUAAUGGCGAAUGAACAGGGAUCAGCUCAGUAUGGAAAUCGGGGCUUCCCAGCCUUGAAUUGUAGUCUCAAGAGGUAUCGCCAACGGAGGCGCAGAUGUAAGCCUCUUGGAAAAGAGCAUCAAUGAGGGUGAGAAUCCCGUUUGUCAUCUGCAGUCCCCCGUGCACGGUGUAUCUUCUAAGAGUCGCGUUCCUCGGGAUUGGAGCGUAAAGUGGGUGGUAAAUUUCAUCUAAGGCUAAAUAUGGGUUCGAGACCGAUAGCAAACAAGUACCAUGAGGGAAAGAUGAAAAGGACUUUGAAAAGAGAGUUAAAAGUGCCUGAAAUUGCUGAAAGGGAAGCGAAUGGAACCAGUGCUCUUGGCGAGAUUGUUGUGCGCUAUGGUGAUUGCUGGCUGCUUCAGCGCAAGCGGGGUAGUUGGUACUGAGCCUGCCGCGCGCAGUGUUUCUUACCUUGUGCGUCACCGUCGGUUCACAGGCGAGGAUACUUCUGAGGACAUGGUAACUCUUCCACGGAGGUGUGAAUGUCUUUGGUAAUACUCGUUUGUAGACCGCUCACCUUCGGGUUACGAUGACUAAAUGGUUCUAUUCGACCCGUCUU
rnacentral:rRNA from 1 species